rnacentral:lncRNA from 1 species
CGUGCAUCCCCUGCUCAGGCUAACAUGGUCGCGCCUUUCACCGGCCUCAAGUCCAUCGCAUCAUUCCCCGUCACCCGAAAGCUUGAGAAUGACAUUACCUCUAUUACCAGCAACGGAGGAAGAGUUCAAUGCAUGAAGGUAUAUAUCUAUACUACUUAAUACUCAGAUAUAUUAUGUGCUAAUGAGGAACCAGUAUAACAUGGCAGAACAUUUCUUAGUUAGUUAUUGCUCAUUUGCUCUCAAAGUAGCACAAUUCUAAGUCAGAUAAAGCAGUCCUAGGUAACUUUAGAGUGAGUAACUUCAGAAUUUUCCUUGAAUAUGUCAAUAAUAUACAAAAAUUAUGUCAACACCUCGAUUAAAAGAUUGUUUUGCUUGUAUUUUCCUCCUGAGCUGAUCUGAGAAAUUUUGUUCUCAAGUCAAACAAUUAGAGACUUUAGCUCAAGAGAAAUGUCACCCCCUGGCAUUGUAGCCUGCGGGAUGUCCUCUAUAUUUUACCAUAGUAACCAUGUCGCCCCUCAAGUGAAGUAGAAUUUAAUUCAAUAAUGAAAUUGAACUACCCAGUAGAGGAAAUUUCUAGUUUUUUUGUAUAAUUUCCACCUUAGCUUGCUCUUAGUAACCCCCCUCAGUCUCAUUAAAUAGUCGGAAAUGUAUAUUCUUAUGAAGACAUGAUCACGUUCUUCAAAUUUUGCAAUCCAACACUGUUUCUAGACAAAUAUACAAUCUGUCGGUUUGUAAUUGAGUAAAUAUGACAUUCACAAAAUAUAUCAAGGAGAACACACCUUGGUUCUGAAAGUGAAUGAUAAAUUAGUUAGGUAACAUAUGUGAAUGGUGCAAGUGCAGGUAUGGCCACCAAUUAACAUGAAGAAGUUCGAGACACUCUCAUACCUUCCUCCUCUCACCACCGAACAAUUGGCAAAGGAGGUCGACUACCUUCUCCGUUCCGGAUGGGUUCCUUGUCUGGAAUUCGAGUUGGAGGUAAGCACUUUCUUCCUACACAUUUUUCAUGUUCUCUGUUACAUGUUUCUUGACAUUGCUGAUGACAAUUGUGUGUUAAACCAAUAUGCAGCACGGUUUCGUGUACCGUGAGCACAACAAAUCUCCCGGAUACUAUGACGGACGAUACUGGGUUAUGUGGAAGCUUCCCAUGUUCGGGUGCACCGACUCAUCGCAGGUGUUGAAGGAGCUUGAUGAGUGCGUCAAGGAGUACCCCCAGGCGUACGUCCGUAUCAUCGGAUUCGACAACGUUCGCCAAGUCCAGUGCAUCAGUUUCAUUGCUCACCAGCCAGAAUGCUGAUCAAUCUGUCUGUUGAUUUCAUAUAUUUAUCAAUCUUGUUCGGCUCAUAUAUAAACUUCUUGCAAUCUCAUUUCAUUUCUUUCCGUUUUAAAUUUCUUACUUGUAUCUCCAACACAAGGAAAUUGGAACUAUAGAGGAUUAUAUGUAGCGAUUGUUGGUGAUUAUAUAUAUCUACUUGUUUGUUUUCCCUGCACCUUCUAAAUACUUGCAUCAUAUGCUUUCAUGUCGUGAUGUACUUUUUUAUAUAUCUCCGAUUCUCCAUGCAGUAAUUAACCACUACGGUCUUUUUACACCAACAAAUUAUAUGAUAACAUAUAGAAACAGUUCAUUGCUUCCGUAAUAUCUGCCUUGGUACAUGUUCUCUUGUAUCACUACAAAACCUUUCACGUCCAACAAUGUGAAAGCAAAUUCUCUGUAAUAGAAAUGGACAUCUGCUAGCGACAUUUCAGAUAAUAAUAAAGUGUACUUAUGCACCAUCUGGUUGGAAGGAAUGAACGGGAAAAACAUGAACAAAAUCAAAGGUAAACGAGAAGUAUACAAGAGUGAAGAGUGAUGAAGAACUAGAAAGUGCAGACUUUAUUAUGAGUUUCACAAUAUAAUGAGUAAAAUAUAGGAAUGAUCAUUUAUCCCUAUAUUGGUAAGAUUGAGAUAUUAGUUUUUUUUUGUGUGCCAAACUAGUACAAAUUUCAUUUCAUUCUCCCUAAACGUAAUUCUUCCAACAAAAUGGGGCAUUACAUAAAGGUAUAAAGAUGAGGAGAUUAAAGAUUGACAGCUGCGAUAAGGGAAGGUAUGGAAAACAUGUGUAACUAUAUAAAUGUCGAACACCAAUAAGAUCCAAAUAACUCAGAUAACAUCCAAACUCAGUAACAAAUUGGUUAACAGAUAAAAUUCAGAAGCGAAUGCAAAAUAGUUUAUAAAAUUAGAUUCUAAGAUUCAAAAUUUCUAGUAUUCAGAUUAUAUGCAGAUGAAAGAGGAAGGGAGAUUUAUUGAAUAAUUUAGGCUUGACAAAACACAAUAAAAUGAUACACAUAGACUAGUAUACUCUAAUACUUAAUGAGCAGCAUAUAUUCUUAUUCUUAACUACCGUCUAUUCUAUUAUAUCAAAGAAACAUAAAUUAUUGCAAAGCUGUAAAUUCACAUUAAGAAGCUUAAACAAAUUACACAACUAGAAAUCAACCACUCAAAUUGGAUAUAAUUGGAUAAAUAUCUAAAGAGAUCAUAACUAAGAACCCUAAUUUCAAAGUUAUAAAUGUAUGUAUAUAAAUGAUUCAAAAAUCAGAACUCUGUAACACAAAAAAGCUAGCUGAACUGAGAUGAAGUAGAAAGCAGCAACAAAACAUUUAUGAAUUAAAUAUCUAAAGCUGAUCUAAUUACAAACAUCAACUCACAGUUAUCAAGAGGGGUGUAUUGGAUUGGGAUUUUAAAUCAUUUUUUUGCAUUCAUGAAAUCCGAGGGUAUUCGAUUGAGAUUAUUUGAAAUGCAUUAAAAUCUUGGGGUAUUCAAUUGGGAUUUUGAAUUAUGCUACAAAAUCUGGUGGUAUUCAAUUGGGAUUUUAAAUUAUGCUUUAAAAUCCGGUGGUAUUCAAUUCGGAUUGUUUAAAAUCCAUUAAAAUCUGAUGGUAUUCAAAUGUUGUCGGAUUUUUUUUCAUUUCAUAAAAUGGUGGAUUUUGUGGCAUUGUUCGAUGUAUUUUAAGUUUUAUGAAAUCCCACCAAAAUCAAUGGGAUUUUGAAGCAUUGUGCUUAAAUCCUAUCAACUCUGCGACAUUUCAUCAAGAAUCCGCACAAAAUCAAAAUCACAUGCAAUCCAUUAAAAUCCAUAGACUAAAAACAAUCCAUUAAAAUCUCAAUCGAAUACACCCCCGCAAUUUAUUAAUCAGAUGAGAGGAAGGAAGGGAGAGGGUCAGAGGGAGAGGGAGAGGGAGAGAGAGAGAGAGAGAGGAGUUACAGUGCUACGGCGACGUUCAGCGGCGAUGGAGAAGCCAAAAGCGACCAAGCAUAGUAUUAUUACAAGAAGAUGAACGAGAGAUGAGCCUUUCCCUGCCCCCAUUAUUGUUUCUAAGGGCAUCUUUGAUCACAAUUUCAAGCUUCAUAUUUUUUUCACUUUUAAUUUUAUAGAUAGAUUAAUCAAUCUCCAAUCAUCCAUUUAUCUUCCUAUGUAAAGUCAUUUACUAGAUAAAUUAUAUUAUUUUAUAAAAAAAAAUUAAAUAACGAAAUAUAUGAUCUUUCUCGGAUGAAGAUAACUUGCAAAUUUAAUGGUAUAGUUUAGAAAUUGGGGUUGAGAAGUACCAGUAGUUAUGCUAUAUUUACCUGAUGAUCUCGUAUCGUAACUUUUUUUACACGUGGGAUUUUUUUGCUUACAGCUCAUACUCUAUAACACACUUCCGCCAUUUCACAUGUGACUUCAUCUUUUGACCAGGGUUCUGUAAAUAGAAUUUUGAGCAAGAUCCCCUUAAUACAUAACUGAAUAAACAACACUCGUAGAGAUGAAUUCUGCUGGCGGAACUAGGGAAGAAACCCUAGCUUAGUCAAAGUUUUUUUUUUCUUCCAGAUAUUUGUUUUUUUUCAGAUAUUUUUUUAUUUGAGCUCUUAAAAAUAACAGUGAACCAAUAAAAAGUAUUUAUUGUGCAAAUUUUAAUUCUAGAUUAUUUUGAUUCAUGUCAUAUUGUCAUUGACUAACAGGCCAAAGUCAUUUUGUUAAUGGGCUCUAUUUUCUUGACCAAAAUCAUACUGUUUCCCCUACUAUUAUCCUGAGCCCAUGUUUUCAAAUUUCAAUUACGCCCAACCACCAGUCCAGAGUAGUUGUUGUUGGGCCACAAGGUAACCAUCCAAUGUCUAAACUAAUCAUAGUCCAAAUAAAAUUUUUUCAUAAAAACUGCGUGUACGUGAAUCCAGGGCAGAGGACUGAACAUGACUCCACUUGAGUUGAGCAAGAAAACCGCAAUCAUAUAUCUUUGAUUUUUAAAAUUGAAAACCGCAACCGUCAAUCGGGGUCGGUUUCGGUUUCGGUUUAAGAAACUUCGAUUCGGUUAAUAGUCGGCUCGGUUUCGAUUACAAAAUCGACAAAUAUAAGAAUGAAAAAUAGUACACAAACGAGACAAAUUAAUGCACGUAAUCUAGACAUAAUAAUUAAUAUAAUAUUAAAAUUUAACAAAAGUAACCGUAUUUUAUUUAAAACACUCUUGCCAGUAAUAUAAAACUAGUCUUAGUCAGAAUUUUCAUACAGAAUACGAAUCAGAACUUCCGGCUGAUUGGCUUUUUUAACACAUGCUUCAUGAAGAUUGAGAAAAUGUGACAGGGAAAAUAGGAAAUACAGAUUGGCAGUGGCCAGUCAGCAUGAGAUAUUCACUGAACAUCAAAUAUUAACAUAGACGGAUGUUUCUGUAAGUGUUAGAAUAGAUUUAUUAUAUUUAUUACAUAUUACAUAUAUUAUUUAUUAUUAUUUUAAUAACCGGUUCCGUUUGGUUUUUAUUGGUUCGGUUGGGAGGUAUAACCGGAACCAAACCGUUUAAAUCAGAUCAAUUUUUAAUUUUUCGGUUUCUAAUUGGUUUUUUUGAGUUUUUCCAAAUUUCGAUUCGUUUUGAUUUUAAAUCGGUUUUUUGCUAAGUCCUAAAUUAAGGUAUGGGUUCAAUUAUAGACAAGGUUAAGCUUACUUUUUAAAAAGUCUAACAUCACAAGUAAAUGGUUCACAAGUAAAUGGUCUUAAAACUAUAAAGAAACCAGGAUUGAAGCUCAAAAAUUAUCACCACUACACCCUUUUUUCGUGGUGCAACAAAUUUGGCCUAAAUCAAACGCAAAUCAAACGCAUUUAUACAAGACAAAUGACAGUCUUAAUAUAGGAUUACCCCAUUUUGGUUCAACCAUGAACACUGUUUGAACUAUGCGAUAGUUUCUUUACUAAAAUAUACUUCAGACUCUGGAACUGGAAGGACUAUGGGCCACUUAAAUGCAGCAUAUAUCUUGCAAUUUGAGCUCGAUAAUGGCAAAUUCCAAAUGCAAUCUAUCCACACAUUACACUCAAGUGCGAAAGAAUGAUCCAUGUAUUUUAAGGGUUUUGGUUCCUGGCAUGUGUACAUCAGGGAGUACUUAUAUAACAUACUGAUUUUGGAUCGUUGGAUGAUAUAUGCAUCUAACGGACAUAAUUAUAAAAAAAAUUCGUCAUGCUCAAUUUUUUUUUAUUUGUUUUUUUGCAUAUGAUAUGUAACUUGAAUAAUAAGAGGAAGGGGGAAAGUGAUGCAACUGCAAUUGAAGAAGUCAGUAGUCACUUAUUUAAAUUUCAAAGUACAAAGCCCAAAUAAGCAAUUUCCAAAGAGCUAAGCAAUGAAGGGCCAAGAAAUGGCUAGCUACUGCUAAAGAAAGCAAGUCCUCAUUCCUUGAUCAGAAGAGAUAAGGCAACCGCUCUCAUGCCACGUGUCAACUCAAUAAGAGUGUUUAAUGAUAAGGCAACCAAUCCAAAUUGCUCACACUGUGUGGCUACCAUGUUGCCUUGUCAACUUCACUGUAAUUCAAUGGUCAGAAAAAUUCUGAACUUUAGGAGGUGAAUUGGGAACCAUUGGAUCAGCAGGUUAAACGAUAAUGAGAUGAAAUGCCUAUAUAUUGGAUAGGUGAAGGAACAGAAGCAAGCCUCUCAAACACAAGAGAAGAAAGUAAAAGAACAAGAAGAGAGUAUUAGUACUCAUGGCUUCUUCAAUGAUAUCAUCAGUAGCACCGGUUACCCGUGCAUCCCCUGCUCAGGCUAACAUGGUCGCGCCUUUCACCGGCCUCAAGUCCAUCGCAUCAUUCCCCGUCACCCGAAAGCUUGAGAAUGACAUUACCUCUAUUACCAGCAACGGAGGAAGAGUUCAAUGCAUGAAGGUAUAUAUCUAUACUACUUAAUACUCAGAUAUAUUAUGUGCUAAUGAGGAACCAGUAUAACAUGGCAGAACAUUUCUUAGUUAGUUAUUGCUCAUUUGCUCUCAAAGUAGCACAAUUCUAAGUCAGAUAAAGCAGUCCUAGGUAACUUUAGAGUGAGUAACUUCAGAAUUUUCCUUGAAUAUGUCAAUAAUAUACAAAAAUUAUGUCAACACCUCGAUUAAAAGAUUGUUUUGCUUGUAUUUUCCUCCUGAGCUGAUCUGAGAAAUUUUGUUCUCAAGUCAAACAAUUAGAGACUUUAGCUCAAGAGAAAUGUCACCCCCUGGCAUUGUAGCCUGCGGGAUGUCCUCUAUAUUUUACCAUAGUAACCAUGUCGCCCCUCAAGUGAAGUAGAAUUUAAUUCAAUAAUGAAAUUGAACUACCCAGUAGAGGAAAUUUCUAGUUUUUUUGUAUAAUUUCCACCUUAGCUUGCUCUUAGUAACCCCCCUCAGUCUCAUUAAAUAGUCGGAAAUGUAUAUUCUUAUGAAGACAUGAUCACGUUCUUCAAAUUUUGCAAUCCAACACUGUUUCUAGACAAAUAUACAAUCUGUCGGUUUGUAAUUGAGUAAAUAUGACAUUCACAAAAUAUAUCAAGGAGAACACACCUUGGUUCUGAAAGUGAAUGAUAAAUUAGUUAGGUAACAUAUGUGAAUGGUGCAAGUGCAGGUAUGGCCACCAAUUAACAUGAAGAAGUUCGAGACACUCUCAUACCUUCCUCCUCUCACCACCGAACAAUUGGCAAAGGAGGUCGACUACCUUCUCCGUUCCGGAUGGGUUCCUUGUCUGGAAUUCGAGUUGGAGGUAAGCACUUUCUUCCUACACAUUUUUCAUGUUCUCUGUUACAUGUUUCUUGACAUUGCUGAUGACAAUUGUGUGUUAAACCAAUAUGCAGCACGGUUUCGUGUACCGUGAGCACAACAAAUCUCCCGGAUACUAUGACGGACGAUACUGGGUUAUGUGGAAGCUUCCCAUGUUCGGGUGCACCGACUCAUCGCAGGUGUUGAAGGAGCUUGAUGAGUGCGUCAAGGAGUACCCCCAGGCGUACGUCCGUAUCAUCGGAUUCGACAACGUUCGCCAAGUCCAGUGCAUCAGUUUCAUUGCUCACCAGCCAGAAUGCUGAUCAAUCUGUCUGUUGAUUUCAUAUAUUUAUCAAUCUUGUUCGGCUCAUAUAUAAACUUCUUGCAAUCUCAUUUCAUUUCUUUCCGUUUUAAAUUUCUUACUUGUAUCUCCAACACAAGGAAAUUGGAACUAUAGAGGAUUAUAUGUAGCGAUUGUUGGUGAUUAUAUAUAUCUACUUGUUUGUUUUCCCUGCACCUUCUAAAUACUUGCAUCAUAUGCUUUCAUGUCGUGAUGUACUUUUUUAUAUAUCUCCGAUUCUCCAUGCAGUAAUUAACCACUACGGUCUUUUUACACCAACAAAUUAUAUGAUAACAUAUAGAAACAGUUCAUUGCUUCCGUAAUAUCUGCCUUGGUACAUGUUCUCUUGUAUCACUACAAAACCUUUCACGUCCAACAAUGUGAAAGCAAAUUCUCUGUAAUAGAAAUGGACAUCUGCUAGCGACAUUUCAGAUAAUAAUAAAGUGUACUUAUGCACCAUCUGGUUGGAAGGAAUGAACGGGAAAAACAUGAACAAAAUCAAAGGUAAACGAGAAGUAUACAAGAGUGAAGAGUGAUGAAGAACUAGAAAGUGCAGACUUUAUUAUGAGUUUCACAAUAUAAUGAGUAAAAUAUAGGAAUGAUCAUUUAUCCCUAUAUUGGUAAGAUUGAGAUAUUAGUUUUUUUUUGUGUGCCAAACUAGUACAAAUUUCAUUUCAUUCUCCCUAAACGUAAUUCUUCCAACAAAAUGGGGCAUUACAUAAAGGUAUAAAGAUGAGGAGAUUAAAGAUUGACAGCUGCGAUAAGGGAAGGUAUGGAAAACAUGUGUAACUAUAUAAAUGUCGAACACCAAUAAGAUCCAAAUAACUCAGAUAACAUCCAAACUCAGUAACAAAUUGGUUAACAGAUAAAAUUCAGAAGCGAAUGCAAAAUAGUUUAUAAAAUUAGAUUCUAAGAUUCAAAAUUUCUAGUAUUCAGAUUAUAUGCAGAUGAAAGAGGAAGGGAGAUUUAUUGAAUAAUUUAGGCUUGACAAAACACAAUAAAAUGAUACACAUAGACUAGUAUACUCUAAUACUUAAUGAGCAGCAUAUAUUCUUAUUCUUAACUACCGUCUAUUCUAUUAUAUCAAAGAAACAUAAAUUAUUGCAAAGCUGUAAAUUCACAUUAAGAAGCUUAAACAAAUUACACAACUAGAAAUCAACCACUCAAAUUGGAUAUAAUUGGAUAAAUAUCUAAAGAGAUCAUAACUAAGAACCCUAAUUUCAAAGUUAUAAAUGUAUGUAUAUAAAUGAUUCAAAAAUCAGAACUCUGUAACACAAAAAAGCUAGCUGAACUGAGAUGAAGUAGAAAGCAGCAACAAAACAUUUAUGAAUUAAAUAUCUAAAGCUGAUCUAAUUACAAACAUCAACUCACAGUUAUCAAGAGGGGUGUAUUGGAUUGGGAUUUUAAAUCAUUUUUUUGCAUUCAUGAAAUCCGAGGGUAUUCGAUUGAGAUUAUUUGAAAUGCAUUAAAAUCUUGGGGUAUUCAAUUGGGAUUUUGAAUUAUGCUACAAAAUCUGGUGGUAUUCAAUUGGGAUUUUAAAUUAUGCUUUAAAAUCCGGUGGUAUUCAAUUCGGAUUGUUUAAAAUCCAUUAAAAUCUGAUGGUAUUCAAAUGUUGUCGGAUUUUUUUUCAUUUCAUAAAAUGGUGGAUUUUGUGGCAUUGUUCGAUGUAUUUUAAGUUUUAUGAAAUCCCACCAAAAUCAAUGGGAUUUUGAAGCAUUGUGCUUAAAUCCUAUCAACUCUGCGACAUUUCAUCAAGAAUCCGCACAAAAUCAAAAUCACAUGCAAUCCAUUAAAAUCCAUAGACUAAAAACAAUCCAUUAAAAUCUCAAUCGAAUACACCCCCGCAAUUUAUUAAUCAGAUGAGAGGAAGGAAGGGAGAGGGUCAGAGGGAGAGGGAGAGGGAGAGAGAGAGAGAGAGAGGAGUUACAGUGCUACGGCGACGUUCAGCGGCGAUGGAGAAGCCAAAAGCGACCAAGCAUAGUAUUAUUACAAGAAGAUGAACGAGAGAUGAGCCUUUCCCUGCCCCCAUUAUUGUUUCUAAGGGCAUCUUUGAUCACAAUUUCAAGCUUCAUAUUUUUUUCACUUUUAAUUUUAUAGAUAGAUUAAUCAAUCUCCAAUCAUCCAUUUAUCUUCCUAUGUAAAGUCAUUUACUAGAUAAAUUAUAUUAUUUUAUAAAAAAAAAUUAAAUAACGAAAUAUAUGAUCUUUCUCGGAUGAAGAUAACUUGCAAAUUUAAUGGUAUAGUUUAGAAAUUGGGGUUGAGAAGUACCAGUAGUUAUGCUAUAUUUACCUGAUGAUCUCGUAUCGUAACUUUUUUUACACGUGGGAUUUUUUUGCUUACAGCUCAUACUCUAUAACACACUUCCGCCAUUUCACAUGUGACUUCAUCUUUUGACCAGGGUUCUGUAAAUAGAAUUUUGAGCAAGAUCCCCUUAAUACAUAACUGAAUAAACAACACUCGUAGAGAUGAAUUCUGCUGGCGGAACUAGGGAAGAAACCCUAGCUUAGUCAAAGUUUUUUUUUUCUUCCAGAUAUUUGUUUUUUUUCAGAUAUUUUUUUAUUUGAGCUCUUAAAAAUAACAGUGAACCAAUAAAAAGUAUUUAUUGUGCAAAUUUUAAUUCUAGAUUAUUUUGAUUCAUGUCAUAUUGUCAUUGACUAACAGGCCAAAGUCAUUUUGUUAAUGGGCUCUAUUUUCUUGACCAAAAUCAUACUGUUUCCCCUACUAUUAUCCUGAGCCCAUGUUUUCAAAUUUCAAUUACGCCCAACCACCAGUCCAGAGUAGUUGUUGUUGGGCCACAAGGUAACCAUCCAAUGUCUAAACUAAUCAUAGUCCAAAUAAAAUUUUUUCAUAAAAACUGCGUGUACGUGAAUCCAGGGCAGAGGACUGAACAUGACUCCACUUGAGUUGAGCAAGAAAACCGCAAUCAUAUAUCUUUGAUUUUUAAAAUUGAAAACCGCAACCGUCAAUCGGGGUCGGUUUCGGUUUCGGUUUAAGAAACUUCGAUUCGGUUAAUAGUCGGCUCGGUUUCGAUUACAAAAUCGACAAAUAUAAGAAUGAAAAAUAGUACACAAACGAGACAAAUUAAUGCACGUAAUCUAGACAUAAUAAUUAAUAUAAUAUUAAAAUUUAACAAAAGUAACCGUAUUUUAUUUAAAACACUCUUGCCAGUAAUAUAAAACUAGUCUUAGUCAGAAUUUUCAUACAGAAUACGAAUCAGAACUUCCGGCUGAUUGGCUUUUUUAACACAUGCUUCAUGAAGAUUGAGAAAAUGUGACAGGGAAAAUAGGAAAUACAGAUUGGCAGUGGCCAGUCAGCAUGAGAUAUUCACUGAACAUCAAAUAUUAACAUAGACGGAUGUUUCUGUAAGUGUUAGAAUAGAUUUAUUAUAUUUAUUACAUAUUACAUAUAUUAUUUAUUAUUAUUUUAAUAACCGGUUCCGUUUGGUUUUUAUUGGUUCGGUUGGGAGGUAUAACCGGAACCAAACCGUUUAAAUCAGAUCAAUUUUUAAUUUUUCGGUUUCUAAUUGGUUUUUUUGAGUUUUUCCAAAUUUCGAUUCGUUUUGAUUUUAAAUCGGUUUUUUGCUAAGUCCUAAAUUAAGGUAUGGGUUCAAUUAUAGACAAGGUUAAGCUUACUUUUUAAAAAGUCUAACAUCACAAGUAAAUGGUUCACAAGUAAAUGGUCUUAAAACUAUAAAGAAACCAGGAUUGAAGCUCAAAAAUUAUCACCACUACACCCUUUUUUCGUGGUGCAACAAAUUUGGCCUAAAUCAAACGCAAAUCAAACGCAUUUAUACAAGACAAAUGACAGUCUUAAUAUAGGAUUACCCCAUUUUGGUUCAACCAUGAACACUGUUUGAACUAUGCGAUAGUUUCUUUACUAAAAUAUACUUCAGACUCUGGAACUGGAAGGACUAUGGGCCACUUAAAUGCAGCAUAUAUCUUGCAAUUUGAGCUCGAUAAUGGCAAAUUCCAAAUGCAAUCUAUCCACACAUUACACUCAAGUGCGAAAGAAUGAUCCAUGUAUUUUAAGGGUUUUGGUUCCUGGCAUGUGUACAUCAGGGAGUACUUAUAUAACAUACUGAUUUUGGAUCGUUGGAUGAUAUAUGCAUCUAACGGACAUAAUUAUAAAAAAAAUUCGUCAUGCUCAAUUUUUUUUUAUUUGUUUUUUUGCAUAUGAUAUGUAACUUGAAUAAUAAGAGGAAGGGGGAAAGUGAUGCAACUGCAAUUGAAGAAGUCAGUAGUCACUUAUUUAAAUUUCAAAGUACAAAGCCCAAAUAAGCAAUUUCCAAAGAGCUAAGCAAUGAAGGGCCAAGAAAUGGCUAGCUACUGCUAAAGAAAGCAAGUCCUCAUUCCUUGAUCAGAAGAGAUAAGGCAACCGCUCUCAUGCCACGUGUCAACUCAAUAAGAGUGUUUAAUGAUAAGGCAACCAAUCCAAAUUGCUCACACUGUGUGGCUACCAUGUUGCCUUGUCAACUUCACUGUAAUUCAAUGGUCAGAAAAAUUCUGAACUUUAGGAGGUGAAUUGGGAACCAUUGGAUCAGCAGGUUAAACGAUAAUGAGAUGAAAUGCCUAUAUAUUGGAUAGGUGAAGGAACAGAAGCAAGCCUCUCAAACACAAGAGAAGAAAGUAAAAGAACAAGAAGAGAGUAUUAGUACUCAUGGCUUCUUCAAUGAUAUCAUCAGUAGCACCGGUUACCCGUGCAUCCCCUGCUCAGGCUAACAUGGUCGCGCCUUUCACCGGCCUCAAGUCCAUCGCAUCAUUCCCCGUCACCCGAAAGCUUGAGAAUGACAUUACCUCUAUUACCAGCAACGGAGGAAGAGUUCAAUGCAUGAAGGUAUAUAUCUAUACUACUUAAUACUCAGAUAUAUUAUGUGCUAAUGAGGAACCAGUAUAACAUGGCAGAACAUUUCUUAGUUAGUUAUUGCUCAUUUGCUCUCAAAGUAGCACAAUUCUAAGUCAGAUAAAGCAGUCCUAGGUAACUUUAGAGUGAGUAACUUCAGAAUUUUCCUUGAAUAUGUCAAUAAUAUACAAAAAUUAUGUCAACACCUCGAUUAAAAGAUUGUUUUGCUUGUAUUUUCCUCCUGAGCUGAUCUGAGAAAUUUUGUUCUCAAGUCAAACAAUUAGAGACUUUAGCUCAAGAGAAAUGUCACCCCCUGGCAUUGUAGCCUGCGGGAUGUCCUCUAUAUUUUACCAUAGUAACCAUGUCGCCCCUCAAGUGAAGUAGAAUUUAAUUCAAUAAUGAAAUUGAACUACCCAGUAGAGGAAAUUUCUAGUUUUUUUGUAUAAUUUCCACCUUAGCUUGCUCUUAGUAACCCCCCUCAGUCUCAUUAAAUAGUCGGAAAUGUAUAUUCUUAUGAAGACAUGAUCACGUUCUUCAAAUUUUGCAAUCCAACACUGUUUCUAGACAAAUAUACAAUCUGUCGGUUUGUAAUUGAGUAAAUAUGACAUUCACAAAAUAUAUCAAGGAGAACACACCUUGGUUCUGAAAGUGAAUGAUAAAUUAGUUAGGUAACAUAUGUGAAUGGUGCAAGUGCAGGUAUGGCCACCAAUUAACAUGAAGAAGUUCGAGACACUCUCAUACCUUCCUCCUCUCACCACCGAACAAUUGGCAAAGGAGGUCGACUACCUUCUCCGUUCCGGAUGGGUUCCUCGUCUGGAAUUCGAGUUGGAGGUAAGCACUUUCUUCCUACAUAUUUUUCAUGUUCUCUGUUACAUGUUUCUUGACAUUGCUGAUGACAAUUGUGUGUUAAACCAAUAUGCAGCACGGUUUCGUGUACCGUGAGCACAACAAAUCUCCCGGAUACUAUGACGGACGAUACUGGGUUAUGUGGAAGCUUCCCAUGUUCGGGUGCACCGACUCAUCGCAGGUGUUGAAGGAGCUUGAUGAGUGCGUCAAGGAGUACCCCCAGGCGUACGUCCGUAUCAUCGGAUUCGACAACGUUCGCCAAGUCCAGUGCAUCAGUUUCAUUGCUCACCAGCCAGAAUGCUGAUCAAUCUGUCUGUUGAUUUCAUAUAUUUAUCAAUCUUGUUCGGCUCAUAUAUAAACUUCUUGCAAUCUCAUUUCAUUUCUUUCCGUUUUAAAUUUCUUACUUGUAUCUCCAACACAAGGAAAUUGGAACUAUAGAGGAUUAUAUGUAGCGAUUGUUGGUGAUUAUAUAUAUCUACUUGUUUGUUUUCCCUGCACCUUCUAAAUACUUGCAUCAUAUGCUUUCAUGUCGUGAUGUACUUUUUUAUAUAUCUCCGAUUCUCCAUGCAGUAAUUAACCACUACGGUCUUUUUACACCAACAAAUUAUAUGAUAACAUAUAGAAACAGUUCAUUGCUUCCGUAAUAUCUGCCUUGGUACAUGUUCUCUUGUAUCACUACAAAACCUUUCACGUCCAACAAUGUGAAAGCAAAUUCUCUGUAAUAGAAAUGGACAUCUGCUAGCGACAUUUCAGAUAAUAAUAAAGUGUACUUAUGCACCAUCUGGUUGGAAGGAAUGAACGGGAAAAACAUGAACAAAAUCAAAGGUAAACGAGAAGUAUACAAGAGUGAAGAGUGAUGAAGAACUAGAAAGUGCAGACUUUAUUAUGAGUUUCACAAUAUAAUGAGUAAAAUAUAGGAAUGAUCAUUUAUCCCUAUAUUGGUAAGAUUGAGAUAUUAGUUUUUUUUUGUGUGCCAAACUAGUACAAAUUUCAUUUCAUUCUCCCUAAACGUAAUUCUUCCAACAAAAUGGGGCAUUACAUAAAGGUAUAAAGAUGAGGAGAUUAAAGAUUGACAGCUGCGAUAAGGGAAGGUAUGGAAAACAUGUGUAACUAUAUAAAUGUCGAACACCAAUAAGAUCCAAAUAACUCAGAUAACAUCCAAACUCAGUAACAAAUUGGUUAACAGAUAAAAUUCAGAAGCGAAUGCAAAAUAGUUUAUAAAAUUAGAUUCUAAGAUUCAAAAUUUCUAGUAUUCAGAUUAUAUGCAGAUGAAAGAGGAAGGGAGAUUUAUUGAAUAAUUUAGGCUUGACAAAACACAAUAAAAUGAUACACAUAGACUAGUAUACUCUAAUACUUAAUGAGCAGCAUAUAUUCUUAUUCUUAACUACCGUCUAUUCUAUUAUAUCAAAGAAACAUAAAUUAUUGCAAAGCUGUAAAUUCACAUUAAGAAGCUUAAACAAAUUACACAACUAGAAAUCAACCACUCAAAUUGGAUAUAAUUGGAUAAAUAUCUAAAGAGAUCAUAACUAAGAACCCUAAUUUCAAAGUUAUAAAUGUAUGUAUAUAAAUGAUUCAAAAAUCAGAACUCUGUAACACAAAAAAGCUAGCUGAACUGAGAUGAAGUAGAAAGCAGCAACAAAACAUUUAUGAAUUAAAUAUCUAAAGCUGAUCUAAUUACAAACAUCAACUCACAGUUAUCAAGAGGGGUGUAUUGGAUUGGGAUUUUAAAUCAUUUUUUUGCAUUCAUGAAAUCCGAGGGUAUUCGAUUGAGAUUAUUUGAAAUGCAUUAAAAUCUUGGGGUAUUCAAUUGGGAUUUUGAAUUAUGCUACAAAAUCUGGUGGUAUUCAAUUGGGAUUUUAAAUUAUGCUUUAAAAUCCGGUGGUAUUCAAUUCGGAUUGUUUAAAAUCCAUUAAAAUCUGAUGGUAUUCAAAUGUUGUCGGAUUUUUUUUCAUUUCAUAAAAUGGUGGAUUUUGUGGCAUUGUUCGAUGUAUUUUAAGUUUUAUGAAAUCCCACCAAAAUCAAUGGGAUUUUGAAGCAUUGUGCUUAAAUCCUAUCAACUCUGCGACAUUUCAUCAAGAAUCCGCACAAAAUCAAAAACACAUGCAAUCCAUUAAAAUCCAUAGACUAAAAACAAUCCAUUAAAAUCUCAAUCGAAUACACCCCCGCAAUUUAUUAAUCAGAUGAGAGGAAGGAAGGGAGAGGGUCAGAGGGAGAGGGAGAGGGAGAGAGAGAGAGAGAGAGGAGUUACAGUGCUACGGCGACGUUCAGCGGCGAUGGAGAAGCCAAAAGCGACCAAGCAUAGUAUUAUUACAAGAAGAUGAACGAGAGAUGAGCCUUUCCCUGCCCCCAUUAUUGUUUCUAAGGGCAUCUUUGAUCACAAUUUCAAGCUUCAUAUUUUUUUCACUUUUAAUUUUAUAGAUAGAUUAAUCAAUCUCCAAUCAUCCAUUUAUCUUCCUAUGUAAAGUCAUUUACUAGAUAAAUUAUAUUAUUUUAUAAAAAAAAAUUAAAUAACGAAAUAUAUGAUCUUUCUCGGAUGAAGAUAACUUGCAAAUUUAAUGGUAUAGUUUAGAAAUUGGGGUUGAGAAGUACCAGUAGUUAUGCUAUAUUUACCUGAUGAUCUCGUAUCGUAACUUUUUUUACACGUGGGAUUUUUUUGCUUACAGCUCAUACUCUAUAACACACUUCCGCCAUUUCACAUGUGACUUCAUCUUUUGACCAGGGUUCUGUAAAUAGAAUUUUGAGCAAGAUCCCCUUAAUACAUAACUGAAUAAACAACACUCGUAGAGAUGAAUUCUGCUGGCGGAACUAGGGAAGAAACCCUAGCUUAGUCAAAGUUUUUUUUUUCUUCCAGAUAUUUGUUUUUUUUCAGAUAUUUUUUUAUUUGAGCUCUUAAAAAUAACAGUGAACCAAUAAAAAGUAUUUAUUGUGCAAAUUUUAAUUCUAGAUUAUUUUGAUUCAUGUCAUAUUGUCAUUGACUAACAGGCCAAAGUCAUUUUGUUAAUGGGCUCUAUUUUCUUGACCAAAAUCAUACUGUUUCCCCUACUAUUAUCCUGAGCCCAUGUUUUCAAAUUUCAAUUACGCCCAACCACCAGUCCAGAGUAGUUGUUGUUGGGCCACAAGGUAACCAUCCAAUGUCUAAACUAAUCAUAGUCCAAAUAAAAUUUUUUCAUAAAAACUGCGUGUACGUGAAUCCAGGGCAGAGGACUGAACAUGACUCCACUUGAGUUGAGCAAGAAAACCGCAAUCAUAUAUCUUUGAUUUUUAAAAUUGAAAACCGCAACCGUCAAUCGGGGUCGGUUUCGGUUUCGGUUUAAGAAACUUCGAUUCGGUUAAUAGUCGGCUCGGUUUCGAUUACAAAAUCGACAAAUAUAAGAAUGAAAAAUAGUACACAAACGAGACAAAUUAAUGCACGUAAUCUAGACAUAAUAAUUAAUAUAAUAUUAAAAUUUAACAAAAGUAACCGUAUUUUAUUUAAAACACUCUUGCCAGUAAUAUAAAACUAGUCUUAGUCAGAAUUUUCAUACAGAAUACGAAUCAGAACUUCCGGCUGAUUGGCUUUUUUAACACAUGCUUCAUGAAGAUUGAGAAAAUGUGACAGGGAAAAUAGGAAAUACAGAUUGGCAGUGGCCAGUCAGCAUGAGAUAUUCACUGAACAUCAAAUAUUAACAUAGACGGAUGUUUCUGUAAGUGUUAGAAUAGAUUUAUUAUAUUUAUUACAUAUUACAUAUAUUAUUUAUUAUUAUUUUAAUAACCGGUUCCGUUUGGUUUUUAUUGGUUCGGUUGGGAGGUAUAACCGGAACCAAACCGUUUAAAUCAGAUCAAUUUUUAAUUUUUCGGUUUCUAAUUGGUUUUUUUGAGUUUUUCCAAAUUUCGAUUCGUUUUGAUUUUAAAUCGGUUUUUUGCUAAGUCCUAAAUUAAGGUAUGGGUUCAAUUAUAGACAAGGUUAAGCUUACUUUUUAAAAAGUCUAACAUCACAAGUAAAUGGUUCACAAGUAAAUGGUCUUAAAACUAUAAAGAAACCAGGAUUGAAGCUCAAAAAUUAUCACCACUACACCCUUUUUUCGUGGUGCAACAAAUUUGGCCUAAAUCAAACGCAAAUCAAACGCAUUUAUACAAGACAAAUGACAGUCUUAAUAUAGGAUUACCCCAUUUUGGUUCAACCAUGAACACUGUUUGAACUAUGCGAUAGUUUCUUUACUAAAAUAUACUUCAGACUCUGGAACUGGAAGGACUAUGGGCCACUUAAAUGCAGCAUAUAUCUUGCAAUUUGAGCUCGAUAAUGGCAAAUUCCAAAUGCAAUCUAUCCACACAUUACACUCAAGUGCGAAAGAAUGAUCCAUGUAUUUUAAGGGUUUUGGUUCCUGGCAUGUGUACAUCAGGGAGUACUUAUAUAACAUACUGAUUUUGGAUCGUUGGAUGAUAUAUGCAUCUAACGGACAUAAUUAUAAAAAAAAUUCGUCAUGCUCAAUUUUUUUUUAUUUGUUUUUUUGCAUAUGAUAUGUAACUUGAAUAAUAAGAGGAAGGGGGAAAGUGAUGCAACUGCAAUUGAAGAAGUCAGUAGUCACUUAUUUAAAUUUCAAAGUACAAAGCCCAAAUAAGCAAUUUCCAAAGAGCUAAGCAAUGAAGGGCCAAGAAAUGGCUAGCUACUGCUAAAGAAAGCAAGUCCUCAUUCCUUGAUCAGAAGAGAUAAGGCAACCGCUCUCAUGCCACGUGUCAACUCAAUAAGAGUGUUUAAUGAUAAGGCAACCAAUCCAAAUUGCUCACACUGUGUGGCUACCAUGUUGCCUUGUCAACUUCACUGUAAUUCAAUGGUCAGAAAAAUUCUGAACUUUAGGAGGUGAAUUGGGAACCAUUGGAUCAGCAGGUUAAACGAUAAUGAGAUGAAAUGCCUAUAUAUUGGAUAGGUGAAGGAACAGAAGCAAGCCUCUCAAACACAAGAGAAGAAAGUAAAAGAACAAGAAGAGAGUAUUAGUACUCAUGGCUUCUUCAAUGAUAUCAUCAGUAGCACCGGUUACCCGUGCAUCCCCUGCUCAGGCUAACAUGGUCGCGCCUUUCACCGGCCUCAAGUCCAUCGCAUCAUUCCCCGUCACCCGAAAGCUUGAGAAUGACAUUACCUCUAUUACCAGCAACGGAGGAAGAGUUCAAUGCAUGAAGGUAUAUAUCUAUACUACUUAAUACUCAGAUAUAUUAUGUGCUAAUGAGGAACCAGUAUAACAUGGCAGAACAUUUCUUAGUGAGUUAUUGCUUUCAAAGUAGCACAAUUUUAAGUCAGAUAAAGUAGUCCUAGGUAACUUUAGAGUGAGCAUAACUUUGGAAUUUUCCUUGAAUAUGUAAAUAAUUUACAAAUAUUAUGUCAACACUUCAAAUAAAAGAUGGUUUUGCUUGUAUUUUCCUCCCGAUCUGAUCUGAGAAAUUUUGUUGUCAAGUCAAACAAUUAGAUACUUUAGCUCAAGAGAAAUGUCACUCCCUGGCAAUCCUGGGGGAUAACUUCUAUAUUUUACCAUAGUAACAGGAGUUUGAGAGUCCAAGAUUCGCAGAAAACAUGUGUGUGUCAAUGUGUGAAAGCCUAAUCAUGUCGCCCCUCAAGUGAAGUAGAUUUUAAUUCAAAAUAGAGAUGUGUGAGAACCUAAUCAUGUCCAAGUUUUUUGUAUGAUUUUCACCUUAGCUUGCUCUCAGUAACCCCUCUCUUAGUCUCAUUAAACAGUGACUCUGAAAUGUAUAUUCUUUUAAAGACAUGAUCACGUUCUUCAAAUUUUGCAAUCCAACACUUUUUGUCAAAAAAUAUACUACAAUCUGUCGGUUUCUAAUCGAGUAAAUAUGACAUUCACAAAGUAUAUCACUGAGAACACACCAUGGUGUGAGAGUGAAUAAGAAAUUAGUUAGCUAACAUAUGUGAAUGGUGCAAGCGCAGGUAUGGCCACCAAUUAACAUGAAGAAGUUCGAGACACUCUCGUACCUUCCUCCUCUCACCACCGAACAAUUGGCAAAGGAGGUCGACUACCUUCUCCGUUCCGGAUGGGUUCCUUGUCUGGAAUUCGAGUUGGAGGUAACCACUUUCUUCCUACACAUUUUUCAUGUUCUCUGUUACAUGUUUCUUGACAUUGCUGAUGACAAUUGUGUGUUAAACCAAAAUGUAGCACGGUUUCGUGUACCGUGAGCACAACAAAUCCCCCGGAUACUAUG